AUCUUCACUAUAUAUGUUAUAUAUUAUGUUUACUAUAUAGUUCAGUGCUUACCAAUCAUUCCACGAUCAGAAAAGGACCGGUCAUGGGUGGUCUCCACCAUGAUGACAAACCCAUUUGAAUUUAGUUUUAAAAUACCACUUUGGAUGGCUAAACCCUAGAUUUUGGCUGUUAAUUGACCUCAGACUUCAAACUAGUUGCUGAUCCCCCUGUUAUGUGAAGUUAUUGCAAUGGUGAUUCGAGCACUUUCACCUAAAAUCUUAUUCGGAUGCUUCAACAAUGAAUAUAGUAUGGUUAAAUGUAUAGCAAACAUUCAUCAAAACCAGUUAUUUCUUGGGACCAUCCGAGAUUAUACGCAGAUUGAAAGCUCACACAGAAACAAAGGUUAUACAAGUUGUCCACGGCGCUCAGAUCCUAGUCAGCGUCUGACGAAGCAAGCCUGUCUAAUAUUGACACGUGUUCUCGUGCUCUUGUAGCGGGCGGCACAUGGUUGAAAUGAAAGGAGUGAUUGUGGCCCUGUGGGGGUUGUGGAAGCUAAUUAAGAUCAUGCAUGGCACUUAGGAUUAGUUUAUUCUGCCUUACCCAAUGAUUUUUCUGAAGGCGUGAUGUAGGGGUGUCAUCCGUUUGUGGAAGGAUCGAUGGCUACCAGUGAUAUAAUCUAGAAGAUCAUAUCCAAUUAAAAAAGACUCAAACUAUGCACGCCACUGUUGAAAAGUGGAAAGGGUGAGCUUGUCGUUUAUUUGGGCUAAAAUAUUGAGAGCAAUCAAUGGAGUAUCGAUCGGGGAUGGUGGAGUGGAGAUCUGAUGUAUUCUCGUUGGAGUGACGAUCUGAUACCAUGAUGAAGAUAUUGAAGAUGUAUUAUCAAAAUGUUUCUAUUACAAUUCUACCACUCAUACGAGCAGUAAGUUAAGUGCAGUAUAUAUAUACAAGAAGUACAAAUCUGUUAUAGUAAGCGUAGCUGAUAUUUGUGCCUGUGGGAGAUGUAACUGUCGUGAUUGAUUCUUGCAAUGAUCAAUUGACCGUUUAAUGCUUGGA